rnacentral:rRNA from 1 species
UACGAAGGGGGCUAGCGUGCUCGGAAUCACUGGGCGUAAAGGGUGCGUAGGCGGGUCUUUAAGUCAGGGGUGAAAUCCUGGAGCUCAACUCCAGAACUGCCUUUGAUACUGAAGAUCUUGAGUUCGGGAGAGGUGAGUGGAACUGCGAGUGUAGAGGUGAAAUCGUAGAUAUUCGCAAGAACACCAGUGGCGAAGGCGGCUCACUGGCCCGAUACUGACGCUGAGGUGCGGAAAGCGUGGGGAGCAA